AGGAAGGAAGGAAGGAAGGAAGGAGGUACUGCCCUCAAGGAGAUCACAAUUCACAAUGUAAUGGGGUAGAUUAUGUGAACAACUAUGUACAGGCAAGAUAUAUACAGAAUGAAGUAAAAUAAUGUCUGGGAGAAGGUACUAAGAUUAAGGACGAUUAGGAAAGGCUUCUUACAGGACUUGCAUUUUAGCUGAGACUUGCAGGAGCCAGGGAGGCAGAGAAUUCUAUCAAAAAAAAAAUUGAGGCCAUUGCUAAGAGCUCCCUGUUCUGUAUCUCAUAUCUUUCUAUUAACACCUUCAUUCCUAUAUCACAAGAAUAUAUGGCCUUUCCCCUUGACAAGGUAUAAGCUCCUUUAUUUCUGCAGGUGCCCUCAUGCCAUCUUAUCUUCUCUGGAAUAUUGCCGCCUCUAUCAGCCUCACUCAUUCAUCUUCAGGGAGGCAAAAAUGCUAUGUGACUUGUGCUUCUACACUGGCACAAUACUAGCUGAAAAGUAAAUGUUGAUGGCAGAAGGUAUGUACCACAUCAGGAAGCCACAAGGAGUAACCCAAAGUCCAAGUGUAGGACAAUGAUUACCCUUCCGUUCUGUCUUUUGCUAGAUACAACAUUGGACUUGCUGGGCAGUUAUGUGGCACAGUGGAUGGAAUACUGGGGCUGCAGUCAGGAAGACCUGAAUUCAAAUCCAGCCUAGUUAGCUGUGUCAUCCUAGGCAGGUCACCAUUUGCCUCAGUUUUUUGUUUUUAAUCUAUAAAAUGAGCUGGAGAAGGAAAUGGCAAACCAUUCCAGUAUUUUUGCCAAGAAAUCCCCAAAUGGGGUCAUGAAGAGUCAUGUGACUGGACAACUGAACAGCUUUAGAGACACUUUCCUUGGAAAGACGUCACUGGGUUAAAGGAUAUGAACAAAAAAGAACAUGGACUACUAUUAAGGAGCAAGAACUAAAGGUAAUAAUUAUACAGUGUAAGUAGUAUUUUGUUAAUCUUGAAAUAAUGGAAGAACCAGAAAAAGAGACUGGUGGAUCCCUUUGCAGAAUCUAUAAAAAGAUGAAUAAGAAUCACACGGGAUGAGAAAGCAUGGAAGGGUUGAUUUUGUCCAUGGAAGGAUUAACCAUAUUCAGAUUUUCAAAAGGGCUAUGACAAGGUAAAGGGAUGUAACUGAUCUGGAAAGAAGUAAUUGACUAUGAAUGUGGAGCUGGGUCAUGUUGGCUGCCAACUCUAGACACAGAAAUAGACAGACUUCUCAUAAACAUGAAGGAAGGAAGAAAAGAAGAAGCUUUGGUUAUGACAAUGGCUUAAUUAUCAUCUCUGUAGAAGUGAUUUCUAGAUCUACAUAUCUAGUCCUGAGUUAUGUCACAACAUGAUGGACAGCCUAUUGGACACUUCAAAUGAGAUUCCUGUAACUAUCUUAAACUCAACAUGUCCAAAAUAGAAUUAAUUAUCUUUUGCCAAAAAUGCACUCUUCUUCCAAACUUCUCUCUUACUAUCUGGCAACAUCACUCUUCUAGACAUUCAAAUUUCUAACUUUGGUAUCACUACUGACUCCUCAAACCAUGAGUUACGAGAUCUUAUUGAUUUUGCCUCUCCAACCAUUCCCAUCUUUUCACCCAUUCAGCCACUAUCUUAGUUCAGGCCCCCAUUAUCUUUUCUGUGGAGUUUGCAGUGAUUUCCUAUUUGAUCUCUCUAUCCUCAAAUCUAAUCCACUCCAAUCUAUGCUGCAAAAGUUUCAAAGUGAUUUUCUUAAUAUACAAUCUGACCAUGUCACUCCUCUAAUCAAGAAACUCCAAUAGGUUUAAAAGUAAAACUCUUUUUACUUCUAGGAUUAAAUAUAAUAUCUUGUGCUUGCAUUUUAUGGCUUUCACAACCUUAUUCUGACCCUCUUUUCUGUUACACAUUUCUUCUUUCUUCAUAUUAUGUGGUCCAGGCAAAUUUACUUUAAUGUUUCUGUUAUAUAGAAUUACAUUUCUAUCUCCAUAUCUUUGUCCUAUCCCUCCUAUGCUUGGAAGACAUUUACUUUCUCACUCCUCUUAGAAUCUCUUAAUUUUCUUUUAGGUUUAGAUCAAAUAGCAUCUUAUACGUGGAGAUCUUACUAAUUCUCUUUCCUCACCCUCACUAUUAAUGUUCUUCCCUCUUCAAAUUAUGUUGUUCAGUUGUUUUAGUCACAUCCAACUCUUCAUGACCCC